AUGGUGUUCCUGUAUGACUUAUAUCUGAGUCCUGCAGUGUUGAACUCACAGGACUAUAAACCUUCUCAGUUCUCUGGAGGAUCAGCUGAUGAUGCAAAGCCUCCUCUCUAUGGAAAUGAUUUCUCUGCUCUCAACACAAUGAAGACCAUUUGCUUUUCAGUGGAAAGAUGUUUGUUCAGAGUGCAGGAGGUUUUUGUACGACCACUUAAUGAGUUUGUAUCACUGUGGUGGACUUUUGGUGGAGGAACCAAACUCAUCGUUGACUUGGGUGUGGUGCGGCCCACCCUGACCGUCCUCCCUCCCUCCAAAGAGGAGGAGAACCAGAGCAGUGUCACACUGGUGUGUCUGUCCACUGGGGGCUUCCCCUCCACUUGGAGUCUGGGCUGGAAGGUGGGGGGCAGCAGCAGGUCCUCGGGGGUGUCACAGAGCCAGGAGGUCCUGGGGAGGGACGGCCUCUACAGCUGGAGCAGCACCCUGAGCCUCCCUGCAGACCAGUGGAGGAAGGUGGGCUCAGUGAGCUGUGAGGCCAGUCAGAAUGGACAGAGUCCUGUCACUCAAACUCUGGAGCCUGACCGCUGCUCAGAGUAAAGCUUCAGCAGCACUUCCUGUCUGGAUGUCAUGCUGCUGCUUCCAUGAAGAUCUGGAUGAAGAUUCAGAUCUGCUCUCUUCUAAUCUUUCAUCAAACUGGUGGCUUUUCUUCAGCAUUUUUAUGUUUAACUGCUUUAAUCUUAGUCAUGUUGUGCUUUUUACUCCUCAAUGUAUGACUGUAACAAACAACAACAGCUUUAAAUAAAUCACUGUCUUUGUA